UACGGGGGGGGCAAGCGUUGUUCGGAAUUACUGGGUGUAAAGGGCUCGUAGGCGGCCAACUAAGUCGGACGUGAAAUCCUUCGGCUUAACCGGAAAACUGCGUCCGAUACUGGAUGGCUUGAGUUUGGGAGAGGGAUGCGGAAUUCCAGGUGUAGCGGUGAAAUGCGUAGAUAUCUGGAGGAACACCGGUGGCGAAGGCGGCAUCCUGGACCAGCACUGACGCUGAGGAGCGAAAGCCAGGGGAGCAAACGGG
rnacentral:rRNA from 1 species